UUUGUGCCCAUGUCUGUCAUCACCUAUGUUCAGAAUUUACAUGGCAGAUAUUUAAAGUUGUAACAGUGAUGAAUCCCCCGAUUAGCAUAGAGAAGGAAUUCUCUCACUGGUAUGGGCUCAUAACAAUUUUCAUUCAGUACAUGGAAAACAAUGUUGUGUCCUUAAAUUGUCAAAGGAAAGGGAUAAAACUUUGUGCCCUGGAGUAAUACUACAUACCUUAUAGCUGUGAGGUCUGCAUCUCUUAUAGGCCUCAUAUCUGGGCAGACACUGUUGUAAACUAGGACACAAGACACCCAUCAGGAGGCUCUUGAGGUUGAGGUGUGCUAAUCUAUUUG
rnacentral:misc_RNA from 1 species